GACGAACGCUGGCGGCGUGCCUAAUACAUGCAAGUUGAGCGCUGAAGGUUGGUACUUGUACCAACUGGAUGAGCAGCGAACGGGUGAGUAACGCGUGGGGAAUCUGCCUUUGAGCGGGGGACAACAUUUGGAAACGAAUGCUAAUACCGCAUAAAAACUUUAAACACAAGUUUUAAGUUUGAAAGAUGCAAUUGCAUCACUCAAAGAUGAUCCCGCGUUGUAUUAGCUAGUUGGUGAGGUAAAGGCUCACCAAGGCGAUGAUACAUAGCCGACCUGAGAGGGUGGUCGGCCACAUUGGGACUGAGACACGGCUCAAACUCCUACGGGAGGCAGCAGGAGGGAAUCUUAGGCAAGGGAAGAAAGUCUGACCGAGCAACGGCGCGGGAGUGGAGAAUGUUUUCGGAUCGUAAAAAUCUGUUGGUAGAGAAGAACGUUGGUGAGAGUGGAAAGCUCAUAAAGUGACGGUAACUACCCAGAAAGGGACGGCUAACUACGUG
rnacentral:rRNA from 1 species